GGAAGGGUGGCCGAGUUGGUUAUGGCGCCAGGUUAAGGUCAGCUAAACAUCUGUUUCCUGGUGGGGCAAUCCGCGCGAGUUCGAGUCUCGUCCCUUUUA
rnacentral:tRNA from 1 species